rnacentral:rRNA from 1 species
CAGCAGCCACGGUAAUACGUAGGUGGCAAGCGUUGUCCGGAAUUAUUGGGCGUAAAGGGCUCGCAGGCGGUUUCUUAAGUCUGAUGUGAAAGCCCCCGGCUCAACCGGGAGGGUCAUUGGAAACUGGGAAACUUGAGUGCAGUAGAGGAGAGUGGAAUUCCACGUGUAGCGGUGAAAUGCGUAGAGAUGUGGAGGAACACCAGUGGCGAAGGCGACUCUCUGGUCUGUAACUGACGCUGAGGAGCGAAAGCGUGGGGAGCGAACAGGAUUAGAUACCCGCGUAGUCCCUGUCUCUUAUACA